CGUAGGCGGUCUGAUAAGCGCGUGGUGAAAGCCCGGGGCUCAACCCCGGGUCGGCCGUGCGAACUGUCGGACUCGAGCACUGUAGAGGCGGGUGGAAUUCCGGGUGUAGCGGUGGAAUGCGUAGAGAUCCGGAAGAACACCGGUGGCGAAGGCGGCCCGCUGGGCAGUCUGCUGACGCUGAGGCGCGACAGCGUGGGGAGCAAACA
rnacentral:rRNA from 1 species